GAUUAUCUUUCUAAGAAAUCUAAGUGGUCAUCUCGACUGACUGGCCAGCUACUCCCCAGAUGACUCAGGAACAUGUUCAAAUUAGACAAUUCGACUACAGGCUUCUUACUCACUAGUCUGGCAUUAGACAGCUAAUUUUUCAAAUAUUCCUAGAGCCUCAAGUUAGGAGAAAUGUGUCAGGAUGCCUUGAAGGGUACCUGCCUUUGACUUCAACCCGGAUCCCCAACACAGUAGUUUCAGAAGCUGGUGAUAUGGACAAGGGCUCAUGGCCAAGUCAACAUCAUGUCAACAUCCAACAAAAAGUACCCCAAAG